AAGUGCGCCUUGCUUUGAGGUUCUCGUCUGCUUGCAGACGAGUUAAACGGGAAACAGGUGCGUUGUCAGGGUUUAGAGGUAAGGGAUUUGGGGUUGGGGAUUCGUAAUUGCGAAUUUCUCUGCCCCUAGCCCCUAGUCUCCAGCCCCUCAACAAUGCCUGUGCUGCCCCCGCAACGGUAAGCGAGUGCGGAUUUGCCAAAAUGCCACUGUGAGUAAUCCCCCCAAAGGAUCUUAUGGGAAGGCGGCAAAUCAAGACUUGUGAGCCCGGAGACCGGCCUGGGAGCAAAGGAACAG
rnacentral:ncRNA from 2 species